UUAAAGAGUGUAUUUAAAUAAUAAAAUGGUGCGUAAGAAGUGUUAUGUUAUGAUAAAAUAAAUUUUUAUACAUCUAUAGAAAGUUAUAUCAAUGAUUGUAAUAGUUGAUAGUACGGAAUCAGAGAGAGAAUCGAUUUAGUCUUUUGAAUGGACAUGGUACAUAUAUUGUGGGGGUUUCCCCUCUACCAGGGUGUUUGUAGAUUGUGGCAACCCUCCCGAAAUAUUACUAUAAUAGUUACAAUUGUUUUUUUAAUCUGUGGAUUUUUGCCACGAAAUGUUGUUGGCGAACAUGGAAAAGAAUAUAAACUUGAUAACAUCUGUAAAAAUCAUUUUUUACGAGAAUUAUACAGAAAAAUAGAUGGUGCUGUUUUAACGUCACAAAAUGAGCAUAAUUUAAAUUGUGCUAUAACAUUUCAAACUCACAGUAUUCUUCAACGUUUUAUGUUGAGGUUUGAUCGGCUUCAACUUGACUGUAAUGAUCAUCUUUAUAUUUAUGAUGGAGCUCAUGCUGGCAAUAAUUUUAAGGCCGAUUUAUCAUGCAGAAAUACUCAUUUAAGCGUUGGUGCAAUUUAUACACGCACUAAUUUUGUUACAUUGAAGUAUAUUACAGAUGCUUGGGGUACCGAUUCUAAUGGUUUUAGGCUCGUCAUCACAGCUGUCAAAGAUCUCAAACACACUUGUAAAGAUUUCCGUUGCACAUUGAACGAGUUUUGUGUUGAUAAAGAUCUUGUUUGUGAUGGUGUUAAUCACUGCGGCGAUGGAUCUGAUGAAGCACCAUCUGCAUUAUGCGCCAAUACUAAAACCUCUACAAUAUUUGGAAUCCAACAAACAUGGUUUGCAGUUGUUUUAACAGUAAUGAUUUUGAUGAUAGUGGGUUUGGUCAUUGGCAUAGUAACUUGUUACUGUCGAAAACGCACAGCAUCUCCACGACAUCCACAUAAUGCUCUAGCUGCUAGAGCUCAUCAACCAGUCAACUUCCCAUUGCAACAGAUGUGCGGAUCAAACGGGGCGAGCGCUGGGAUGCCAAUGGGAAUGACAGUAAUCAAAGGACCAGCGGAAACUCCAGGACCGAUGACCAGUCUAAAUUAUGCAGGAGUGAGCAUCGGGUUAACGGGUGCCACGACACUACCGCGGUCGGGAAACUGGCUACACCCUGCAGGCCUCAGGCUCGGGCACAGCGAGGUUCGGGUCCGCCUCUAUUGCCAGGCAAAGUAAAAAAUCACGGUUCAGACAGUGAUAUUUCAUCUAGUCAAAAAGAUGAAUGGUUUGUAUAGAGGCAGAUCUUACCAGAGCCUGCAGGGUGAUAUGAAAACGGUUGUGCCCACACCGUUUCUUUAAUUAAAUGAUAAAAUAGUUGUUUUUUAAUUGGAAUUAGAAUAUCAUUAAGAUAUUACCAAAGUUACAUUUAAUAUCAAUACUUUACUUACAAGCAAGACCAUAAAUAAUGAUCAUAAAAUUAAUCAUUUAUUUCUCUACGAUAUUCAAAGUAUUUUUGAGUUAUUUACCAGGAAAAUAUGUAUCAAAAAAAUAUCUGAUAACUUCAG
rnacentral:misc_RNA from 1 species